GUCCCCGUAGUUCAAUGGACAGAACGACUCCCUUCUAAGGAGUAGAUCGAAGUUCGAUUCUUCGCGGGGACA
rnacentral:tRNA from 2 species